rnacentral:rRNA from 1 species
UACGUAGGGGGCAAGCGUUGUCCGGAAUCACUGGGCGUAAAGCGCGCGCAGGCGGUCAUCUACGUCUGGGGUGAAAGCCCGGAGCUCAACUCCGGGAUUGCCUUGGAUACGGGAUGACUUGAGGAUCGGAGAGGCAAGGGGAAUUCCACGUGUAGCGGUGAAAUGCGUAGAGAUGUGGAGGAACACCGAUGGCGAAGGCAGCCUCCUGGGCCAACACUGACGCUCAUGCACGAAAGCGUGGGGAGCAAACAGG